UUAAGCGACUAAGCGUACACGGUGGAUGCCCUGGCAGUCAGAGGCGAUGAAGGACGUGCUAAUCUGCGAAAAGCGUCGGUAAGGUGAUAUGAACCGUUAUAACCGGCGAUGUCCGAAUGGGGAAACCCAGUGCAAUUCGUUGCACUAUCGUUAACUGAAUACAUAGGUUAACGAGGCGAACCGGGGGAACUGAAACAUCUAAGUACCCCGAGGAAAAGAAAUCAACCGAGAUUCCCCCAGUAGCGGCGAGCGAACGGGGAGCAGCCCAGAGUCUGAAUCAGCUUGUGUGUUAGUGGAACGGUCUGGAAAGUCCGACGGUACAGGGUGAUAGUCCCGUACACCAAAAUGCACAGGCUGUGAACUCGAAGAGUAGGGCGGGACACGUGGUAUCCUGUCUGAAUAUGGGGGGACCAUCCUCCAAGGCUAAAUACUCCUGACUGACCGAUAGUGAACCAGUACCGUGAGGGAAAGGCGAAAAGAACCCCGGCGAGGGGAGUGAAAAAGAACCUGAAACCGUGUACGUACAAGCAGUGGGAGCACCUUCGGGUGUGACUGCGUACCUUUUGUAUAAUGGGUCAGCGACUUAUAUUCUGUAGCAAGGUUAACCGUAUAGGGGAGCCGCAGGGAAACCGAGUCUUAACUGGGCGUUAAGUUGCAGGGUAUAGACCCGAAACCCGGUGAUCUAGCCAUGGGCAGGUUGAAGGUUGGGUAACACUAACUGGAGGACCGAACCGACUAAUGUUGAAAAAUUAGCGGAUGACUUGUGGCUGGGGGUGAAAGGCCAAUCAAACCGGGAGAUAGCUGGUUCUCCCCGAAAGCUAUUUAGGUAGCGCCUCGUGAAUUCAUCUUCGGGGGUAGAGCACUGUUUCGGCUAGGGGGUCAUCCCGACUUACCAACCCGAUGCAAACUACGAAUACCGAAGAAUGUUAUCACGGGAGACACACGGCGGGUGCUAACGUCCGUCGUGAAGAGGGAAACAACCCAGACCGCCAGCUAAGGUCCCAAAGUCAUGGUUAAGUGGGAAACGAUGUGGGAAGGCACAGACAGCCAGGAUGUUGGCUUAGAAGCAGCCAUCAUUUAAAGAAAGCGUAAUAGCUCACUGGUCGAGUCGGCCUGCGCGGAAGAUGUAACGGGGCUAAACCAUGCACCGAAGCUGCGGCAGCGACACUAUGUGUUGUUGGGUAGGGGAGCGUUCUGUAAGCCUGCGAAGGUGUGCUGUGAGGCAUGCUGGAGGUAUCAGAAGUGCGAAUGCUGACAUAAGUAACGAUAAAGCGGGUGAAAAGCCCGCUCGCCGGAAGACCAAGGGUUCCUGUCCAACGUUAAUCGGGGCAGGGUGAGUCGACCCCUAAGGCGAGGCCGAAAGGCGUAGUCGAUGGGAAACAGGUUAAUAUUCCUGUACUUGGUGUUACUGCGAAGGGGGGACGGAGAAGGCUAUGUUAGCCGGGCGACGGUUGUCCCGGUUUAAGCAUGUAGGCUGGUUGUCCAGGCAAAUCCGGAUAAUCAAGGCUGAGGUGUGAUGACGAGGUACUACGGUGCUGAAGUAACAAAUGCCCUGCUUCCAGGAAAAGCCUCUAAGCAUCAGGUAACAUUAAAUCGUACCCCAAACCGACACAGGUGGUCAGGUAGAGAAUACCAAGGCGCUUGAGAGAACUCGGGUGAAGGAACUAGGCAAAAUGGUGCCGUAACUUCGGGAGAAGGCACGCUGGUGUGUAGGUGAAGUCCCUGCGGAUGGAGCUGAGACCAGUCGAAGAUACCAGCUGGCUGCAACUGUUUAUUAAAAACACAGCACUGUGCAAACACGAAAGUGGACGUAUACGGUGUGACGCCUGCCCGGUGCCGGAAGGUUAAUUGAUGGGGUUAUCCGUAAGGAGAAGCUCUUGAUCGAAGCCCCGGUAAACGGCGGCCGUAACUAUAACGGUCCUAAGGUAGCGAAAUUCCUUGUCGGGUAAGUUCCGACCUGCACGAAUGGCGUAAUGAUGGCCAGGCUGUCUCCACCCGAGACUCAGUGAAAUUGAACUCGCUGUGAAGAUGCAGUGUACCCGCGGCAAGACGGAAAGACCCCGUGAACCUUUACUAUAGCUUGACACUGAACAUUGAGCCUUGAUGUGUAGGAUAGGUGGGAGGCUUUGAAGCGUGGACGCCAGUCUGCGUGGAGCCAACCUUGAAAUACCACCCUUUAAUGUUUGAUGUUCUAACGUUGGCCCCUUACCGGGGUUGCGGACAGUGUCUGGUGGGUAGUUUGACUGGGGCGGUCUCCUCCCAAAGCGUAACGGAGGAGCACGAAGGUUAGCUAAUCCUGGUCGGACAUCAGGAGGUUAGUGCAAUGGCAUAAGCUAGCUUGACUGCGAGCGUGACGGCGCGAGCAGGUGCGAAAGCAGGUCAUAGUGAUCCGGUGGUUCUGAAUGGAAGGGCCAUCGCUCAACGGAUAAAAGGUACUCCGGGGAUAACAGGCUGAUACCGCCCAAGAGUUCAUAUCGACGGCGGUGUUUGGCACCUCGAUGUCGGCUCA
rnacentral:rRNA from 1 species